rnacentral:rRNA from 1 species
GGCGACCGAAACGGGAUGAGCCCAGCGCAUAACCUCGCAGUCAAGUAACUUGGCGUGUGCGAGGGGUGUUGCGUUUCGGAGGGUCUGGUAUUACUACUACUUAGUUCUGCAAUGUCCAAGUCAUGCUUGAAAGCAGCCGUCACCCGUGGAGGGUGAGAGGCCCGUAUGGCGGAGCGGAACGGUAGUAAAGGACCUCUCUGUAGAGUCGGGUUGCUUGUGAAUGCAGCCCAAAGCAGGUGGUAAACUCCAUCUAAGGCUAAAUAUGACCACGAGUCCGAUAUAAAACAAGUACCGUGAGGGAAAGUUGAAAAGGACUUUGAAGAGAGAGUUCAAGAGUACGUGAAACCGUUGAGAGCCAAACGGGUGGCACCUAGGAGGUCGAACUGAGGCGAUUCACCUCGUCGGGAUGAGCCUGAACGUGAGGUGUGGGGUAUAAUUGUUAUCCCUUUAAGCGACUCGCGAAUUCGUUCGCGGGCGCGCCUUCGUUUUCAUCGCUGAUGCUGGCGGGCGUAUUUCGCCUCACAGUAGGUCGCCGCGACCCGUUGUACGGGGACGUCUGAGUGGCUCGAUUGGGAUUGGUACCCGGCUGCAUAUUGCGCCGUUUCGGCGGUGGAGUACUGCAUGUCGGGGAAACCCUCGGUGUCCUCCUGACUGUGCCCCACGACGGUGGUUGUUAUUGUCAGCAGCAGAAGGUGAUUAUGAUGAUUACGGUGACCUGGUCGGCGGAAACGCCGGGCAGUGUUCAUGGUGUUCGUCGUCUUCUUCUUCUAUCGCGGCGUUUUCCUGUACGGUGGACCACCCGACCCGUCUUGAAACACGGACCAAGGAGUCUAACAUGUGUGCGAGUCAUUGGGUUUUGCUAAACUCAAAGGCGAAAUGAAAGUGAAAGCUGGGGUAGAGAAGAGUAAGUGAGUGAGAGAGUGACGGAGUCUACAGAAGAAUGUUGGGACGGAGAGGCGAGGGAAAGACGGACGUUGCAGAUGGAGGGUUAGGCGAAGAAGUUUGCCGCCGAGGCCACCACUGUCGUCGUCAAUUCGUUGCUGCCGCCCCACUUUUUCUUUUUCUCCUUAUUCCUCCUCCUUUUUCUCGUAAAAUACUCUUGGUUCUCUUCUCCCGGGGCCGAUCCCAGACCUGAGGUGGCAACACCAAGGUCCAAGCCCGCACGAUGCGGGGGGGCGCAGGCCCGGGACUUGUCGUUGCAGUGUUGCGGUGGGAGCGCCACUGUUCGUCCGCCUUCGCCUUUAAACUUGACCGCGGCACACCUACAACGUGUGCGGCGUGCGGGUGGGCGAGUGAGCGUACGAUGCAGACGUUUCUACCUCUUCUGCUGCUGGCAAGUACCUUGAGCAGACAUGUUGGGACCCGAAAGAUGGUGAACUAUGCUCGGCCAGGAUGAAGCCAGAGGAAACUCUGGUGGAGGUCCGUAGCGAUUCUGACGUGCAAAUCGAUCGUCUGAGCUGGGUAUAGGGGCGAAAGACUAAUCGAACUAUCUAGUAGCUGGUUCCCUCCGAAGUUUCCCUCAGGAUAGCUGGUACUCGAGGGCAUGAAUUUCAUCUGGUAAAGCGAAUGAUUAGAGGUGUUGGGGAUGAAACGUCCUCAACCUAUUCUCAAACUUUCAAUGGGUGAGAUGCCGAGCUUGCUUGAUAUUGGGAAUCAGUGAAGCUCUGGCGAAGAAUCUGAGUACCUAGUGGGCCACUUUUGGUAAGCAAAACUGGCGCUGUGGGAUGAACCAAACGUAGAGUUAAGGAGCCCAAAUGAAUGCUCAUGCGGAUCCCACGAAAGGUGUUGGUUGCUAUAGACAGCAGGACGGUGGCCAUGGAAGUCGGAAUCCGCUAAGGAGUGUGUAACAACUCACCUGCCGAAGCAACUAGCCCUUAAAAUGGUAUGGCGCUGAAGCGUUCUUCCAAUACUCUACCGCCGGGAGCACUAUAGGCUGACUGCUGGCAGUCUAGAAGCCUCGGUGAGUAGGAGGGUCACGGUGACGAGCCGAGAAGGGUCUUCCGGCGUGAGCCGGCCCGGAGCCGUCACCGGUGCAGAUCUUGGUGGUAGUAGCAAAUAGCCUAGAGAAAUUUCCUCGGUGACCAAAGUGGAGAAGGCCUCCACGUCAACAUCAUUUGGACGUGGUUCAGUCGUACCUUAGCCCAAGGCUAAUGCCUUAUCUUAUGCCCGUGGCAAACACAGAUCUAACGGGUGUGAAGUUUCAAUGAGCGCAUCGUUGUUUUGAUGCACCGCUGUUUGGGAAUUUGCAGAAGUAAAAAAAAAAGCAGCGGCAGCGAGGAACGGACUGCUCUGCGGGGGUUGAAACUAGUUUCAACUGUCGCAUCUUAUGGUUCUCGUUGAAGGUGCUACUACUACUACUUCUGGCGGUUCUUUUCCAGCUUAUGUUGCAUAGCGGUAUUAGUGUCACUUGUAGGAGGUGGUGGCUGACUGGGCUUACCCAAGUGCUGGCCGGUGCCGUCCAAUUGUGCUGCGGUGUGACUAGAGGGGUUGCUGCUGACGUGCCCAUUUUGAGUUUCGUUGUAGUCGCUACCGACGUUGUUUAUUAGCCUGUUCUUCAGGUGGAUGCUGCGACGGUUUAGGGACUAAAGCUACGACGCCGAUUGGGUUUUCGUCUCGACAGCAGCCUUACUACUAGUACUGUUCAUCCCUGUGCAUAUGGACUGGUUAGUAAAUAAUCGGCGGGCCUCCUUGGUCCUGGUCACGUGUCCCAGCUCCCGUGAUACUACUUACUCGCUUGUACUGCAACAGCAGCAGGGCAGCGGCACAGAACUGACGCUCUGGGCCUAUUGUUGACUCUUCACGGGUUUAACUCCCUUAGCUGCGAACGUCCUCGUUUUGCGAUGACCGUGGUAAUGGGAGGGGUGUGUUCUGGGUUGCACACCUUUGCCUUUUCCGACAGUAAUGUUUUUGUUGGCUAGAGAGUUUGUGGCGAAAGGGAAUACGGUUCUGAUUCCGUAGCCUAGACUUGAAAGCCCCCACUGCAGCAGCAGCAGCAGCAGCGUUUUGUCAGUGGGGGCAUACAGCAGGGUCCUUGUAAUGGGAAUAAGCCUGUGUCCAUCGGCGGAAGCCCGGGGAAGAGUUUUCUUUUCUGUUUAAGGCGCCGUCAACCCUAGAAGCCACUCGAAAGAGAGAAAGGGUGACGGUAAUAUUAUGGCCGGAGAGCGCCGCGAUUCUCGCGGCGUCCCGCGCGCCUCUGCCGAUCCUUGAAGGAUGCGUGUGCAGAACCUGCAAGGUCGUAGCGGAUCCCCAGAUCCGUCGAUGUACCUUAUUUUCAAUCUAGUGCGUACCCAGGCUCC